ACAUCAGCCGCGCGGCGGCCAAUCAGAAUCGGGGGGUGGGGUUACGGAGUCCGCGCAAGCGCACUCCGCUAAAUUUGAGUGAUAGUCCGAGACAGAGAGGCGGGGAUGGGAAAGAAAGUGAGGCUUCUGCGACGCGCAGGCGCAGUAUGCAGUUCCUCGGUUGUGGCGGCGUUAAUGCUGCUCCGCUUAUCCUGGACACAGUUUUUUGGAUAGUGGGAGUUUUGUGCGCGCUGCUCGCCAAGGACCUGCCAGUGCUACGGGGGGGGGGCGCAUAUUUUCGAGGCAGCUUCCCGCUACUUUAUUAAAAAAAAACUUUGCUUUAAGCUUGCAUUAAUUUUUGCAUACCUGCAAGUGCAAUAAAUAAAUAUAUGUUAAAAACGUUUUGGGAAGCAACGAGGGACCGAUCGAGUCGCUGUUGGCGGGAUCGUUCGUAAGGCUUCUGCCGGAGUGGUGGAACCGUUGCACAUGGUGAACCCCGCUGACCUAUGAAGCUGCUCCGUGGUGGGUCUCUCACCCCAGCCUACCUCGCAGGGUUGUUACGGAGAAGAAAACGGGGAUGAGUGCCUGCACCGUGCACCCUAGCAACUUGCAGGAAUGGAAAUAUGUUGAUGUAAUAAAUGAACGAAAGCUCGACUUCGGUUGUCACUGACUGUUCACAUUUUUUAAAAAAAUAGAGCCAUCAAUGAACACCCAUUGGAUAUGGUCACUCAACCAGCUGUGGAUCCAUUCAACAACAAUUAUAAUCCAGCCCACAUUUUACCAUCUUGUCAACAAAGGUACCACAUGAGUUUUUGUCAAAAGUUUUUCUGGAUUAAAAAGAAAAGGAGAUACAAUUUGUCUGGCAUGACUUGGGGAGGGAGAUUCCCUUUUUAUUCACAGUUGAUGGAGACACAAGGAAAACAAGUAAAAACCUGCAGACUCUUUUUUAUUAAAUUCUCCCAUUUCAUCUGUACAGAAAAAAAUGCACAUUAUGUUCAGAAUCUCCGUUAACAAUUCAAAAUUACACAGCAUGAACAUGUAAAAAGAAAGAACAGCCAAGAUUUUGUACAUAGAAAGGAAAAACAAUUUACAAAAAAAACCUUUGUUAAUGUUACAUUUUUUAAAAGGACUAAGGGUCAGCCAACAUUAGCUGUAUCUUCUACCAAUUUACUGUCUCUCCAAAGGGCUGGUUUUGCAAGCUGCAGGAGGGGCACGGAAUACGAACCCUUUUAUGCCACCCUGAGUUGUUCUGUGCACCUGCAUUUUGCUUCUCUCAAACACAAAACACGCCUAUUCUUCAAUCAAACACCACUUAUAUUGAGUUCCAAAGCAUACCUGAAGGGAAAUUGCAGCCUGCCUCUGAUGCAUUUCCAAGAACCUUGAGAUAAGUCUUUUAAUUCUCUUUGCGCCAGCUAGGGAGCCUCUGGAUGUAGGAGUCUGCAAGUGUUGGAGAAGCAGCGCUCCUGAUGCUCAGAAUCUACACAGAAAUGGAACCAAUUAUCAUGCUGGUCACAGCUGUCCAGAAGGACUAGCAAUAUGAGAACAGGUGUCAGCACAAGCCGGGGGCCAGGACAGUGCUGAUACCACAUGCUGGAUGGCACCACUUCCUAAAGACAGUUCCCUCCACCCAGCACUCUUCCAGUUUGUUAGUAUUAAUGCUCUGGAUGCACAUGUAGUGUAUAUGUAGGAAGAGUGUAACCUAUCAAUCCAGUUGUACAAACUAUGAAGCGGAACAGGAUGUGUGAUCCUUCAGUUUUCCAAUUUAACAAGUUCCUUAACUUACUGUGGGACAAGAGAAUACCCUAGGCUACAUCUAAGAGCCACCACUAAGAGCCAAGAAAUCCCUGCUCCUUAGGCUCCACCAGGGCUUUUCUGCACGAACUCUAAUCCUGUUAUGCAUAGAGCAGUGCCCAACCCGCGUACUUCCAUCUCCAAUGCAUCAAACCAGGGGACCUUCCUUGAGAUGAGAGCCAAGAGAGCAGCAUCAGCACAGCUUUAGAUGAGACACAAGGAAGGAGAAGCAGCAGCACAGGGUCCAGAAGCUGGAGGAGCUCGUGUUACAAGACAGUCGAGGCCACAGUGGUGAAGACAGCAAGUACUACAAGUUCAAACAGGGAACCUUAUAGGGAAGAAGCAGAAAAACAAGCUCCCAAUUCCUAAGCACUUUUCAAACAUUCAAACUGCAGCACAGCCCCUUCCAUCUUCCUCAAGCAGUUGCACGUAUUCUGAGGAGGAAGUGACAAGCACAACACUUGCAAUACAAUGCCACUUUAGAUGAAGGAUCAUUUUUGUAAACAGUCGUCCCUCAAAUAAGCCCCAAAGCAGGAAUACUUAGCUGUCAGACUGAAACUGACAGGGUCUGAGGAGACUGCAUGGAGGCUUAGGUGAUGCUGAGACAGAGACCUGCAGUGCUUGGAACUCAAGAGGCUGCUUCUCGUCUCUUUAAAACAAUGGCUCAUUCAAGGUCACUGAGAGAAUGGAGUGACUGGCUGGCUGUAAUGGCUUCGGCAUUCUGUCUCUUCCCAGGCAACUAGUCCCCUUACGUGCAUCUCACACAAGCUCCUCCUCUUCGGUAGCAUCACUAUAUGCCUGCAAAAACCACUGCUGCUGAUUAUGGGAAUUUACUCAGGAGAGCAUUUUUCUUUCAUUAACCAAUGGGGCACUCCCACUAGGAUCGAGGGAAGGCAAUUGUAGUUGGCUGAAGGGAAGCAAUGUAAAGAAUAAUACGUUGUGCAUCUUAUCUGAAUGCAUGUGCUAGCCAGGAUGGUGGGGGCAUCCUCUCCUUUCACAGCAUUUGCUGCAGGGUCACCAUAUGCAAGUGCCAGUUUCUUCCCAACGUUGUGUAGGAUUUGGAAGAUGAUAUGACCAAGGUUAUUCCUGGCCUCCUACAGUAUGAAUGGCAGCUCUAAGCACCCUGCAAUUAAUCUGCUGGCUGCCUCUCUUGCAAGUGACUUGAGUUGCCCUGGGAGCAUCCUCACCAUCGCCACCCCAUUUCAGAGUCAAGGUGGAUUCCUUAGGAUAAAGAAGUCUAUGCCUUGCCUCAGAGUUAAAACACAGAAUAAACACAAUACUGAAGGGCAUCCACGUGUGGGUGAAAGGGAGGGGGGAGGGAAUAGAGGCUUUGGAAUGCACUGAGCACACACUAGUUGGGGAACUAUGGCACACACCCCUUUCCAAUGUCACCAUUCAUAGAUUCAGUAAUAUCAGAAGCAGGGGAAGGAAAUCCAAUCUAGUGGCCACAGUCCAAAAAAAACCUUCAGUACACACAGGCUCGCUCACUGAUCUUUGAUUUCCCUAAUCAUCUCUCCUUAAUUUUGGAGGCCUGAAACAGUCAGUGGGCCUCAGGGGUGGGGUGGGGUGAGAUUCUUGCACAAGCUUUUCCAGUUUGCCAUCCUCAGGAAUACAAAGCCACACUCUGAACGACUUUCCAGUAGGAUGAAAAAUAAAGGUUUCCUAAAGCUAAAAACUUUUGUGCCUUUUACCAACACUUCAAGAGCAGCAGAAAAUAUUCACAGUAGUGGUAUGGCUGAGUGUCCACAUCAUCAUUAAGAUCAGCUGGUCCCAUUGCCAAAAGCCCCUCGCUUUUGUGACAUUAAUGCAGAACGCUGAGAAGUUGACAUCUGACUGAGCAGUUGCAGCAAAGCAGGAAAAGGGGCAGGGAGGGGAAGAAGAUGUUGCACUCAAGCCUUGUGUCGGGCAGACUCAUGAUUUAGCCCUCUAAAGCAUACAGGCAACCAUGUCUAACAGGCUGAUAGAUAUCCUACUAUACACAAGGAGCCUGCACGUGCGUAUUUCCUCUUCUUCGAGUUCCUCCCUGUGCUCUCCAAUCAACAGACAAGGAGCACACUCCUGCUUAUUGCAAACAGGUACUGUAGUACUGUUACUAAAAGCAUCACUUCAGCAAAGAUACCUCUCCCAUCCAACUCUCAGAAAGCUAUCCCCCCUCCCCUCCCCCGUCCUUGCUUAGUGUAGGGAGCCCUGCCAGUUUCCCUACUUCCCAAAUGGCUGAUGAUCUCUUUAGAUGGAUUCUUGACAGCAAGAAAAGUCUUACACCCUCCCUGACAGUUCAGGGAGGAAACUUCAGUAACUUGUAAAUAAGGACCUUAUGGGUCCAACCCCUUUGGGGAGGACCCAAAUCCUCGUUUUCUUCCAAAACCACUGCCUUACUACCCAAGACCACAGCUCCACCGUAGCUUGUCCAAAGGCUUCCCUUGAGAUACAGUAUGGUUUUGCAGGGGGUGCCUGUAAGACCACUGAAGUUUCUUUAAUCUGGUCAAUAUUUUAUUAACCCCAAAGAUUGGAGUGGGGGUGGAGAAGUAUGGAAGGCAUUGCCUUUUGGCAAAAACGGAGGAACAAGCCACAAAAAGAAAAAAAGAAGUACAACAGAAUACAGUAACAAAAGCACAAAAACAGUAGAGAUGAUGACGGGCCUCUGGAGGCAACUCUUGCUGACUGAUUAUGUGCUGGAGAUGCUUGUUCCAGGGUGAGCCAGAUGUCCAAAGCAAGGCCAGCUGUGAAUGGUGGGUGAUGUCCCUUCCCCUCGGUCCUCCUGCCUAAGCCAAGGAGCACAAACACUUCCACACCAAGACCUACUGUCCAACACUAUGUCUGGAACAGAUCUUUAAAAAUUUGCUUUAAAAACCUCUUGAGCUGCAGGUUGUCAGUCUGUCUGGGGAGUGAAGGCAGUUCCGACAGUAUGAGAAAGAGAGAAAGAGAAAGAGAAAAAACUUGUCUACAGGCAGGCAAACAACAGUCGCUAACGACAGGGUAACGAAGCUGCUGGCUGGACCGCCAAGGCUGCACGUGCCAACUCGUUCCGAGGGUGGAGAAGCCAUGGACGAGAUGGGACACUCAGCUGGCACGGGCUGCUGUUCUAAUCUGUUUGUACUCUCCGGAGAGGUGGGAGGGGAGACUAUACAGAGGAGGGCUGUACAAACUGGGCAACGGGCAGGCAGGCAGGCCUUCUUUCCUUCCUUCUUCCCUUUGACUACCAAGGCAGGCUCUACCUGUCCUUCAGCUCUCGUGUCACUCGCUUCGUGAUACGCCCACACAUCAGGCCAAUCAGGAACAGGAUGCAGAUGCCCACACUGAUCACUGAGAGGAUGUAGUUCUUGGAUGGAGAGGUCAUCACUUGCAUGGCAAGAUCAGAAAAGCCUUCCGCUGGGGCAACCUGGCAGGCAAGGAGGAAGAGUCAGCUCCCAAAUCAAUCGUAACAGAUGUCUACAAUGUACAGAUGAAAUUUAGGGGUCAGUGCUUCAAACAAAUCUUCUCUAAAACCACCCGAUUUGUUACAACCCUGUAUAGACCAGAAUAGGGUCGCAGGACCAUACACUGGGCUAGGCCGUUUGUCCAUGUUAUACUGGCGUUCUGCCAGCUCCUUCUCUCAUAGGUGCUUACCUGAACCUUCUUUUCUUCUUCACAGGCUUAAGAAAUUUAAAAUAUAUAUUAAACAGCUUGUAAAUUCUUUCAAAUAAAAAUAAACAACAAAGUAGGGCAGGGAGACGGCAUUUUCAGUAGUGGCACCUGGGUGAUGAAACACACCUCCUAAAGAAGAUCACCUGGCACCAGCUUUGUGAUCUUUUCAGAGCCAGGUGAAGACCUUUCUAUUCACCUAGGGGCCUUUGAAAUAACUUGUUUUAUGGACUAGUCUUCUUGGCUGUAAAAACUGUGUUUUGUGUUUUUAGUUUAAGUUUUAGUUUAUCACUUUAUAUUGUACUUUAAUUGUGCUUGUUUUGGGCAUCAAUCAAAGAUUUUGUGUAAUGGGGUAGCUUUAUAAAUUCCAUUAAUAAAUGAUUUCUUAAA